rnacentral:rRNA from 1 species
UAGUCCACGCCGUAAACGAUGGUCACUAGUUGUUGGGGCUUUAUGCCUCAGUGAUUAAGAGAAAUUGAUAAGUGACCCACCUGGGGAGUACGAUCGCAAGAUUGAAACUCAAAGGAAUUGACGGGGGCCCGCACAAGCGGUGGAGCAUGUGGUUUAAUUCGAUGAUACGCGAGGAACCUUACCAGGGCUUAAAUGUAAGUUGCAUGAUUUAGAGAUAGAUCUUUCUUCGGACUACUUACAAGGUGCUGCAUGGUUGUCGUCAGCUCGUGCCGUGAGGUGUCGGGUUAAGUCCUAUAACGAGCGCAACCCUUAUCGUUAGUUGCCAGCAAGUAAAGUUGGGGACUCUAACGAGACUGCCGGUGCAAACCGAGAGGAAGGUGGGGAUGACGUCAAAUCAUCACGGCCCUUACGUCCCGGGCUACACACGUGCUACAAUGGUAUGGACAGAGAGCAGCCACUACGCAAGUAGGAGCGAAUCUACAAACCAUAUCACAGUUCGGAUCGGAGU